rnacentral:rRNA from 1 species
UACGGAGGGUGCAAGCGUUAUCCGGAUUUACUGGGCGUAAAGGGUGCGUAGGCGGUUUGUUAAGUCAGGGGUGAAAGUUUUCGGCCCAACCGGAAAAUUGCCUUUGAUACUGGCGAACUUGAGUGCGUGAGGGGUAACCGGAACGAGCAGUGUAGCGGUGAAAUGCGUAGAUAUUGCUCGGAAGGCCAACGGCGAAGGCAGGUUACUGGUACGCAACUGACGCUGAGGCACGAAAGCGUGGGGAGCAAACAGG